AAUAGAUACCCGGGUAGUCCACGCCGUAAACGAUGGAUGCUAGCUAUUAGGGGGAAUCGACCCCCUCCGAAGCGAAGCUAACGCGUUAAGCAUCCCGCCUGAGUAGUACGAGCGCAAGCUUAAAACUCAAAGGAAUUGACGGGGACCCGCACAAGCGGUGGAGCGUGUGGUUUAAUUCGAUGGUAAACGAAGAACCUUACCAAGGUUUGGCAUCCCGAUAGCCGUUCUCCGAAAGGAGGAUUUCAUUUAGUUGGACCGGUGACAGGUGAUGCAUGGCCGUCGUCAGCUCGUGUCGUGAGAUGUUGGGUUAAGUCCCGCAACGAGCGCAACCCUUAUGAUUUAGUUGGAUUUUUCUAAACAGACUGCCCUGGUAACAGGGAGGAAGGAGGGGAUGAUGUCAGGUCAGUAUUCCCUUACACCUUGGGGCGACACACGCGCUACAAUGGCCGGUACAAUGGGCAGCUAAGCCGCGAGGUGGAGCAAAUCCCAUCAAAGCCGGUCCAGUUCGGAUUGCAGGCUGAAACCGCUGCAUGAAGCCGGAAUCGCUAGUAA
rnacentral:rRNA from 1 species